UUUAUUGCUUUGAUUAGGAGUAGUAUUAUAAAGGUUAUCCUCAAGAGAGCUGUUGGUUGCUGUAAAACAGUGUUUAACUUAUAAGAACUUGCCUAUGAGCUUACUUGUUAAAAGCAAGUACGGGAGAACCGUUAUAAAUUUGAGUGAGAAAAAUAUUAUUUUUUCUAAUAAGAGUGGUACCGCGAAUAUGUCCUUCGUCUCUUAA
rnacentral:ncRNA from 1 species